AGGUCCGGGCGUUAUCCGGAUUUAUUGGGUGUAAAGGGAGCGUAGACGGCGAUGCAAGCCAGAUGUGAAAGCCCGGGGCUCAACCCCGGGACUGCAUUUGGAACUGUAUAGCUAGAGUGUCGGAGAGGCAGGCGGAAUUCCUAGUGUAGCGGUGAAAUGCGUAGAUAUUAGGAGGAACACCAGUGGCGAAGGCGGCCUGCUGGACGAUGACUGACGUUGAGGCUCGAAAGCGUGGGGAGCA
rnacentral:rRNA from 1 species